GACGAACGCUGGCGGCGUGGAUUAGGCAUGCAAGUCGAACGGUAUCAUCCUUUCGGGGGUGAGAGAGUGGCGAACUGGUGAGUAACGCGUAGGUUAUCUACCCUCAAGACGGGGACAACCCAGGGAAACUUGGGCUAAUACCGGAUGUGAGCAACUUUUAGUUGUUUGAAAGGUGGCGUAAGCUGUCGCUUGGGGAUGAGCCUGCGUCCUAUUAGUUAGUUGGUGAGGUAACGGCUCACCUAGGCAAUGAUAGGUAGGCGGCCUUAACGGGUGGUCGCCCACACUGGGAUUGAGAUACGGCCCAGACUCCUACGGGAGGCAGCAGUCGAGAAUAGUCUACAAUGGUCGGAAGACUGAUAGUGCGACGCCGCGUGAACGAUGAAUCCCUUCGGGGUGUAAAGUCCUUUUAUAUGUGAGCAGUGCUUCUUAUAUUAACAGUAUGGGGAGAGAGAUAUUAGCAUAUGAAUAAGCAACGGCUAACUCCGUGCCAGCAGCCGCGGUAAACUCG
rnacentral:rRNA from 1 species